AUCUAGGAUUUCACCCAUGGUA
rnacentral:siRNA from 1 species